AACGAACGCUGGCGGCAGGCCUAAUACAUGCAAGUCGAGCGCGCCCUUCGGGGUGAGCGGCGGACGGGUGAGUAACGCGUGGGAAUAUGCCCUUCUCUAAGGAAUAGCCUCUGGAAACGGAGAGUAAUACCUUAUACGCCCUUUGGGGGAAAGAUUUAUCGGAGAAGGAUUAGCCCGCGUUAGAUUAGGUAGUUGGUGGGGUAAUGGUCUACCAAGCCUACGAUCUAUAGCUGGUUUGAGAGGAUGAUCAGCCACACUGGGACUGAGACACGGCCCAGACUCCUACGGGAGGCAGCAGUAGGGAAUCUUAGACAAUGGGGGCAACCCUGAUCUAGCCAUGCCGCGUGUGUGAUGAAGGCCCUAGGGUCGUAAAGCACUUUCGCCAGAGAUGAUAAUGACAGUAUCUGGUAAAGAAACCCCGGCUAACCCCGUGCCAGCAGCCGCGGUAAUACGGAGGGGGUUAGCGUUGUUCGGAAUUACUGGGCGUAAAGCGCACGUAGGCGGAUUAGUAAGUUAGAGGUGAAAUCCCAGGGCUCAACCCUGGAACUGCCUUUAAUACUGCUAGUCUUGAGUUCGAGAGAGGUAAGUGGAAUUCCGAGUGUAGAGGUAAAAUUCGUA
rnacentral:rRNA from 1 species